GACCGAGGGUGCAAACGUUGUUCGGAAUUACUGGGCGUAAAGUGUGCGCAGGCGGCCGAGCAAGUCGAGUGUGAAAGCCCCGGGCUUAACUUGGGAAUUGCGCUCGAAACUACUUGGCUGGAGUGUGGCAGAGGAAGGUGGAAUUCCAGGUGUAGCGGUGAAAUGCGUAGAGAUCUGGAGGAACACCGAUGGCGAAGGCAGCCUUCUGGGCCAACACUGACGCUCAUGCACGAAAGCGUGGGGAGCAAACAGG
rnacentral:rRNA from 1 species